CACACACACACACACACACACACACACACACACACACACACACACACACACACACAACAUCACUACACCAUCACACUCUCCAAGGCAAAACAAUAUUAAACACAUUUCAAUUGACAAUAGUACUCCACGGGGCAACAAAAAAUUUGCAUACUGAAACAUUUGACAUCCUAGUCAAUGAAAAGAGCUCGUGGCAAACCGCGAUAUUAUGCAAAUAAUCUGACGGAAAUAUAGCAUUGCAGCACUGGAAGAAAUCAACUAAUUCCAAUACUUUCAUAUGCGAUACACGACUUAAAGCAAAAUUAAAAAACGAUUAACAAAAAGGAUUAUAUGGAUAACCCAGGACAUUCUGCAAUCACAAAUAACAACAUGACAACUGACACAUCUAUUUCAGAAAUAAAUAUCAAAAAAAUUACGAGCUACACAUUCCAAACUGUGUUCCCAACUAAUGAAGAAACAAUUACGGUGAUGCAAACACUGAAACUGCUACCAAGACGAGGAGACACACGAAUAGUGAAAUGCAAAAAAUGCCAAGGUAAGAAAAUAAUACAUAGCAUAAAUAAAAUAUACACUUAGCGUAAAUAAUCAUAGAGAAAGCCUAAAAUAACUUUCAUAACCAACUACCUGUAAACAAGAUCUAAACAACCAAGCAACAGACGGAGAAAGAUUGUUAACAUUACUGAACGACAUUAAACAUGUAUACCCAGGUCCUGAGGAAA
rnacentral:lncRNA from 1 species